AGCUUUGCGCAGUGGCAGUAUCGUAGACUAUGAGGUUUCACAGAGGUGGGUUUAUUGCGAAUUGAAAACUUUUCCCAAUACCCUGCCAGGACAACUUGAAAUAUAGAUGGCAUUGGCAAUUUUUGGCAGUCUCUAUGGGGA
ensembl:snRNA U4 U4 spliceosomal RNA